GGUGAAUGCUGGCGGCGUGGAUAAGUCAUGCAAGUCAAGGGGGCCCGCAAGGGCAACCGGCAAACGAGGUAGUAACACGUAGGUAGACCCCCCCAGAGUCGGGCAUAGCCAGCCGAAAGGUUGGGUAAUUCCCGAUAGUCCCGAAAGGGUAAAGGUUUUUCGCUCUGGGAGUUGCCUGCGUAGUAUCAGCUAGUUGGUAGGGUAAUGGCCUACCAAGGCUACGACGCUUAGGGGAGCUGAGAGGCUGACCCCCCACCGAUGGAACUGCGACACGGUCCAUACUCCUACGGGAGGCUGCAGACGAGAAUAUUCCGCAAUGGGCGAAAGCCUGAUGGAGCGACGCCGCGUGAUUGAUGAAGUGCUUCGGUACGUAAAAGAUCUUUUUAUCGGGGACGAAGUUUUAUUGACGGUACCCGAUGAAUAAGGGGCUCCUAAACUCUGUGCCAGCAGCCGCGGUAAU
rnacentral:rRNA from 1 species